rnacentral:rRNA from 1 species
UGCCAGCAGCCGCGGUAAUACAGAGGGUGCAAGCGUUAAUCGGAGUAACUGGGCGUAAAGGGCGCGUAGGCGGUAACACAAGUCAGCUGUGAAAGCCCAGGGCUUAACCUUGGAAUUGCAGUUGAAACUGUGUCACUAGAGUCGAGGAGAGGGAAGCGGAAUUUCCGGUGUAGCGGUGAAAUGCGUAGAUAUCGGAAGGAACACCUGUUGCGAAGGCGGCUUCCUGGACUCAGACUGACGCUGAGGCGCGAAAGCGUGGGUAGCGAACAGGAUUAGAUA